rnacentral:tRNA from 1 species
GCCCCUGUAGCUCAGUUGGUUAGAGCAACCGACUCAUAAUCGGUAGGUCGAGUGUUCGAGUCACUCCGGGGGCACCA